UAGGGAAUCUUCCGCAAUGGACGAAAGUCUGACGGAGCAACGCCGCGUGAGUGAAGAAGGAUUUCGGUUCGUAAAACUCUGUUGUUAGGGAAGAAAAAAUGUAUAGUAACUAUAUACAAAAGAGACGGUACCUAACCAGAAAGCCACGGCUAACUACGUGCCAGCAGCCGCGGUAAUACGUAGGUGGCAAGCGUUGUCCGGAAUUAUUGGGCGUAAAGCGCGCGCAGGUGGUUUAGAAAGUCUGAUGUGAAAGCCCACGGCUCAACCGUGGAGGGUCAUUGGAAACUAAUAAACUUGAGUGCAGGAGAGAAAAGUGGAAUUCCAAGUGUAGCGGUGAAAUGCGUAGAGAUUAGGAGGAACACCGAUGGCGAAAGCGGCUUGUUGGCCUACAACUGACACUGAGGCGCGAAAGCGUGGGGAGCAAACAGG
rnacentral:rRNA from 1 species